CCUCACAUUACUCCUGAUCCAGCUGGGCCAUCCGGAAGAAAGAUAGGGGGAUUGGAGAUGGACUUCUUGGAGGGUGGAAAUUCUUUUAGUUUUCUCCUCUCGGUUUCUUCUCCCCUCUUGGGUGGUAGAGAGAGAAAAGGAGGGAGGGGGUUGAAUGGCUGCUGUGCUGUGAUGUUGCAGUUGCUGCUUGGGUACUCACUUGAAGGAGAGAUGGUGGGACGGGACUUUUAUUAAUUAGAUAGAGUGAAUUUCCCAUAAUGACCCUACUUUCUCUUAUAGAGAG
rnacentral:lncRNA from 1 species